rnacentral:rRNA from 1 species
AUUGAACGCUGGCGGCAGGCCUAACACAUGCAAGUCGCACGAGUGGCGGACGGGUGAGUAAUGUCUGGGAAACUGCCCGAUGGAGGGGGAUAACUACUGGAAACGGUAGCUAAUACCGCAUCCCCUCGGAUGUGCCCCGAUGGGAUUAGCUCGUGGGUGGGGUAACGGAUCACCUCGGCAACGAUACCUAGCUGGUCUGAGAGGAGGAGCAGCCACACUGGAACUGAGACACGGCCCAGACUCCUACGGGAGGCAGCAGUGGGGAAGUUUGGAAAAGGGGGGAAACCCUGAUCCAGCCAUCCCGCGUGUGCGAUGAAGGCCUUCGUGUUGUGAAGCAAUUUUGGCAGGAAAGCGGUACCUGCAGAAUAAGCACCGGCUAACUACGUGCCAGCAGCCGCGGUAAUAC